rnacentral:rRNA from 1 species
AUGAACGCUAGCGACAGGCUUAACACAUGCAAGUCGAGGGGCAGCACAGGUAGCAAUACCGGGUGGCGACCGGCGCACGGGUGAGUAACGCGUAUGCAACUUACCUAUCAGAGGGGGAUAACCCGGCGAAAGUCGGACUAAUACCGCAUGAAGCAGGGGCCCCGCAUGGGGAUAUUUGCUAAAGAUUUAUCGCUGAUAGAUAGGCAUGCGUUCCAUUAGGCAGUUGGCGGGGUAACGGCCCACCAAACCGACGAUGGAUAGGGGUUCUGAGAGGAAGGUCCCCCACAUUGGUACUGAGACACGGACCAAACUCCUACGGGAGGCAGCAGUGAGGAAUAUUGGUCAAUGGGCGCGAGCCUGAACCAGCCAAGUCGCGUGAGGGAUGAAGGUUCUAUGGAUCGUAAACCUCUUUUAUAAGGGAAUAAAGUGCGGGACGUGUCCCGUUUUGUAUGUACCUUAUGAAUAAGGAUCGGCUAACUCCGUGCCAGCAGCCGCGGUAAUACGGAGGAUCCGAGCGUUAUCCGGAUUUAUUGGGUUUAAAGGGUGCGUAGGCGGCCUUUUAAGUCAGCGGUGAAAGUCUGUGGCUCAACCAUAGAAUUGCCGUUGAAACUGGGGGGCUUGAGUAUGUUUGAGGCAGGCGGAAUGCGUGGUGUAGCGGUGAAAUGCUUAGAUAUCACGCAGAACCCCGAUUGCGAAGGCAGCCUGCCAAGCCAUGACUGACGCUGAUGCACGAAAGCGUGGGGAUCAAACAGGAUUAGAUACCCUGGUAGUCCACGCAGUAAACGAUGAUCACUAGCUGUUUGCGAUACAGUGUAAGCGGCACAGCGAAAGCGUUAAGUGAUCCACCUGGGGAGUACGCCGGCAACGGUGAAACUCAAAGGAAUUGACGGGGGCCCGCACAAGCGGUGGAUUAUGUGGUUUAAUUCGAAGCAACGCGAAGAACCUUACCAGGCCUUGACAUCCCUUGCAGAGGUAUAGAGAUAUAUCCGAGGUUAUCAAGGAGACAGGUGGUGCAUGGUUGUCGUCAGCUCGUGCCGUGAGGUGUCGGCUUAAGUGCCAUAACGAGCGCAACCCUUGCCACUAGUUACUAACAGGUAAAGCUGAGGACUCUGGUGGGACUGCCAGCGUAAGCUGCGAGGAAGGCGGGGAUGACGUCAAAUCAGCACGGCCCUUACAUCCGGGGCGACACACGUGUUACAAUGGCGUGGACAAAGGGAAGCCACCUGGCGACAGGGAGCGAAUCCCCAAACCACGUCUCAGUUCGGAUCGGAGUCUGCAACCCGACUCCGUGAAGCUGGAUUCGCUAGUAAUCGCGCAUCAGCCACGGCGCGGUGAAUACGUUCCCGGGCCUUGUACACACCGCCCGUCAAGCCAUGGGAGCCGGGGGUACCUGAAGUCCGUAACCGAAAGGAUCGGCCUAGGGUAAAACUGGUGACUGGGGCU